rnacentral:rRNA from 1 species
CCUACGGGAGGCAGCAGUGGGGAAUAUUGGACAAUGGGCGCAAGCCUGAUCCAGCCAUGCCGCGUGAGUGAUGAAGGCCUUAGGGUUGUAAAGCUCUUUUGUCCGGGAAGAUAAUGACUGUACCGGAAGAAUAAGCCCCGGCUAACUUCGUGCCAGCAGCCGCGGUAAUACGAAGGGGGCUAGCGUUGCUCGGAAUCACUGGGCGUAAAGCGCACGUAGGCGGAUCUUUAAGUCAGAGGUGAAAUCCCAGGGCUCAACCCUGGAACUGCCUUUGAUACUGGGGAUCUCGAGUCCGGAAGAGGUGAGUGGAACUCCGAGUGUAGAGGUGAAAUUCGUAGAUAUUCGGAAGAACACCAGUGGCGAAGGCGGCUCACUGGUCCGGUACUGACGCUGAGGUGCGAAAGCGUGGGGAGCAAACAGGAUUAGAUACCCGUGGUAGUCCACGCCGUAAACGAUGGAUGCUAGCCGUUGGAAAGCAUGCUUUUCAGUGCGCAGUUACACUUUAAGCAUCCCGCCUGGGGAUACGGUCGCAAGNUUAAAACUCAAAGNUAUGACGNGNGAGNGNGCGAGACGACGAGAGAG